UUGAAACCCAAGCAUCCAAUGUCAGCAUUCUUCUUAUUCACAAACAGUAGCCAAGUUGCACUGCUUGCGGAGAAGAAGAGUGUUUUAGAGGAGCUUGAAGCACUACCCGAUCCAGUGGGGCAUACCUGCUAGAAGAAGGAGAAAGAAUACAAAGAAGCUCGAGGCUUUCAAUGAGAAGAACAUGGAAAAAGUACAACUUAUAACCAGGUUAAUGGAGGAAACUACCCUUAAUCAUGUUAAGAGUGCUGGACUUCUUGGUGAUGGCUUUGGUUCAACGCCAAAGAUGUGCAGAAAGAACCUGAUAUGGGUGGUUACACGAAUGCAGGUGGUGGUAGAUCGCUAUCCUACUUGGUUUAUGAAGUUCUAAAGUUGCUGAAUGAGCUCUACCUACUACAGCUAGAGAUCAAGAUGCUCAACAGGUGUUGGAUAAGGAAUUCCGUUUUAGUUAAUUCCCCCAGUCUUCUGCAAAAAUUCGGAAUGGAUAUACUUCCUUUGUUGAUCCAGCAGUUUUUUGGCCGGAGUGUUCAAUCGAAAGGAUCAGCAUGUGCUCUUAGUAGCUCUACAUAUUGUUGAGAUGAUCCUGCAAAAGCUUUCUAAUAUUUUCUUGAGUUCAUUUAUCAAGGAAGGUGCCCUUUUUGCUAUUGAUGCAUUGUCAUUUAAGUAACUAUUACGU